AACGAACGCUGGCGGCAGGCUUAACACAUGCAAGUCGAACGCCCCGCAAGGGGAGUGGCAGACGGGUGAGUAACGCGUGGGAACGUACCUUUCGCUUCGGAAUAUUCCCGGGAAACUGGGAGCAAUGCCGAAUACGCCGUAUUGGGAAAGAUUUAUCGGCGAAAGAUCGGCCCGCGUUUGAUUAGGUAGUUGGCGGUGUAAUGGACCACCAAGCCUACGAUCUAUAGCUGGUCUGAGAGGAUGAUCAGCCACACUGGGACUGAGACACGGCCCAGACUCCUACGGGAGGCAGCAGUGGGGAAUCUUGGACAAUGGGCGCAAGCCUGAUCCAGCCAUGCCGCGUGAGUGAAGAAGGCCUUAGGGUUGUAAAACUCUUUCGCCGGUGAAGAUAAUGACGGUAACCGGAGAAGAAGCCCCGGCUAACUUCGUGCCAGCCGCCGCGGUAA
rnacentral:rRNA from 1 species